AAAAUUCUGACUUUAUUUUUAAAGUUCUGAGUUUGCAUCUUAUAAUUCUGAGUUCAAAUCUCUGGAUUAUUA
rfam:Danio rerio chromosome 11, GRCz11 reference primary assembly.